AUUCGCAGCACCGGAGGACUGCAGAUAAAUCUUAUCGUAGUUUCUAGAACUUGUCCAGGUAUCUGAGACCUGCUUGUACGUAAAGGUGUGGACAGGUGUAGCAAAGGUAGAGAGUUCGGUCUGUCAACACUCGUCUGUCAUAGGUAGAGAGUUGAGUCUGUCAACACUCGUCUGUCAUAGGUAGAGAGUUCGGUCUGUCAACACUCGUCUGUCACAGAGUUCAAGCACGACACGACAAGAUGAAAACUCUUGCCCUCAUUUCUGUUCUUUCCAUCGUCUGCGUGAGCAUUUUCGGUGCAGAAAAAAGACUGGAUGCACAAUAUUGUUCAACAUUCUGUGGAAACGAGCGAGGAUGUCUGUCUGCAUGCAAUGAUAUGAGGCGGGACACCGGGGCACAGGCCGACUACACACUGUGUCAGUUGAUGUGUGGCUAUGACAGCGAGUACAACUCUCCCUGUAUGUCCGCAUGUCUGCUCUAUGACGACUGAACACUGGGUGUCUAUGUCUUGACAGACAGGCAGUAAUUGACAAUAGACAGUUCUGACAGAGUGAUUGACAACAGGUCUUGACAGAUUGAUUGACAACAGGUCUUGACAGAGUGAUUGACAACAGUUCUUGAGAGACAAAUGAGACAGACAUGUGACAGGAAUUGACAGCAGAGCUAGACAGACUUUGGAUAGGAAUAACGGAGAAGACCCGGUCUAACGCAGUCCUCAAAUAAUAACAGGCUUUAAAUAAAAAAUAAAAUAGCUUGUUAAUGCAA